rnacentral:misc_RNA from 1 species
CUCAUGGCCCUCGAUCCAAGUUUUGACGGCUUCACGUUGUUCUUGCAGUGCAAUAUCGGAGUAUGCAGGCUCGCUCGGUCGGACGCGGUAAUAGGCAAUAACCUUCAUGCAGAAUCCCUGAUUAAAGGCACGGACAGCCCGUGCCCCCUAGAUUCAAAUGAGGCCCCGAGAAAUUGCGGGGUUUUGCAAAGAAAGGCCGAGUGUCUCCCGAAAGCCGCAUUUCAGGGGCGGGCACUGCGACAUCAGAAGAAUUCGC